CAAGAGUUUGAUCCUGGCUCAGGACGAACGCUGGCGGCGUGCCUAAUACAUGCAAGUCGAACGCUUCUUUCCUCCCGAGUGCUUGCACUCGAUUGGAAAGAGGAGUGGCGGACGGGUGAGUAACACGUGGGUAACCUACCCAUCAGAGGGGGAUAACACUUGGAAACAGGUGCUAAUACCGCAUAACAGUUUAUGCCGCAUGGCAUAAGAGUGAAAGGCGCUUUCGGGUGUCGCUGAUGGAUGGACCCGCGGUGCAUUAGCUAGUUGGUGAGGUAACGGCUCACCAAGGCCACGAUGCA
rnacentral:rRNA from 1 species